rnacentral:rRNA from 1 species
GACGAACGCUGGCGGCGUGCUUAACACAUGCAAGUCGAACGGAAAGGCCCUGCUUUUGUGGGGUGCUCGAGUGGCGAACGGGUGAGUAACACGUGAGUAACCUGCCCUUGACUUUGGGAUAACUUCAGGAAACUGGGGCUAAUACCGGAUAGGAGCUCCUGCUGCAUGGUGGGGGUUGGAAAGUUUCGGCGGUUGGGGAUGGACUCGCGGCUUAUCAGCUUGUUGGUGGGGUAGUGGCUUACCAAGGCUUUGACGGGUAGCCGGCCUGAGAGGGUGACCGGCCUCAUUGGGACUGAGAUACGGCCCAGACUCCUACGGGAGGCAGCAGUGGGGAAUAUUGCACAAUGGGCGGAAGCCUGAUGCAGCGACGCCGCGUGCGGGAUGACGGCCUUCGGGUUGUAAACCGCUUUCGCCUGUGACGAAGCGUGAGUGACGGUAAUGGGUAAAGAAGCACCGGCUAACUACGUG